UGGGGAAUUUUGCACAAUGGAGGAAACUCUGAUGCAGCGACGCCGCGUGAGUGAUGAAGAUCUUCGGAUUGUAAAACUCUGUCCUUAGUGAAGAUAAUGACAGUAACUAAGAAGCAAGCCCUGGCUAAAUACGUGCCAGCAGCCGCGGUAAUACGUAUGGGGCAAGCGUUGUCCGGAAUUAUUGGGCGUAAAGGGUACGUAGGCGGUUUAAUAAGUCCUAAUUAAAAGGCUAUGGCUCAACCAUAGUAUGGUUAGGAAACUGUUGAACUUGAGUAGGUGAGGUGAAAGUGUACUUCCACGUGUAGCAGUUAAAUGCGUAGAUAUAUGGAGCACCACCAAUGGCGAAGGCAGCUUUCUGGAAUCAAACUGACGCUGAGGUACGAAGGCGUGGGGAGCAAACAGG
rnacentral:rRNA from 1 species